ACAAAUUAUAGAGACGGAGGGGGCCUGUUAAACAAUUCGAAAUCUUUUUUUUAAACUAAACUUGAGCUGGGGUGUUGGAACGAUAGCGGCCGUGUUCGAGUUCGAACAGGUGCGGUCGAGUUUCAUUGAGACUCUGACGAAGCAUCUCAUUUUUCUGUGUCCGAGGUCGACGUCGAUUCGAGAUUUUCGUCAUAGUUUUCAGCUUACGGUCUGUUCAUGUUCAGCCAUAGUGUCGUCUUCUUCUUGUAACCAAUUGGAAGAUCUUAAUAUAUCGAAAGGCUUCAAAGGAGCCACUCCGAGCUGUGAGGAAACUAAAGAGUGUUUUGGAGUUAAUAUGGAAUGUGGGAGGCCAAUCGAAGGUUAGCACGGUCAAAAAGGAGAAAGAAAAGCAAGUGGGAAAGUCCCCUCCAGAUGUGCGACCGCAGAUUGACCGCGCACUGAGGCAAAAUGUUGGCGAAAUCCGCGGUCAGAUCUGCGGACCAAUCCGCGGCCGCGGACGAGCUGACGGAAGCCAAUAACCCCGGAUCAAUUAUGUAAUUUCCAAGGUGACUAACCUAAACCUAUAUGAAGCCUAAUUCGCCCAGAAGAGAGAGAUAGCUGUUUUUAGAGAGAUUUUGAAGGCAAGAACACGUGAGAAAGACAGAGAAUUUCCUUAGAGUUUUCAUCUUCUUCUUUUUAAUUCCAUUGUUUAUUAUGACUUUCUAUAGUGAAUUUUUAUCUA